UUGGCCGGGCGACGGUUGUCCCGGUUUAAGCGUGUAGGCUGGUUUUCCAGGCAAAUCCGGAAAAUCAAGGCUGAGGCGUGAUGACGAGGCACUACGGUGCUGAAGCAACAAAUGCCCUGCUUCCAGGAAAAGCCUCUAAGCAUCAGGUAACAUCAAAUCGUACCCCAAACCGACACAGGUGGUCAGGUAGAGAAUACCAAGGCGCUUGAGAGAACUCGGGUGAAGGAACUAGGCAAAAUGGUGCCGUAACUUCGGGAGAAGGCACGCUGAUAUGUAGGUGAAGUCCCUCGCGGAUGGAGCUGAAAUCAGUCGAAGAUACCAGCUGGCUGCAACUGUUUAUUAAAAACACAGCACUGUGCAAACACGAAAGUGGACGUAUACGGUGUGACGCCUGCCCGGUGC
rnacentral:rRNA from 1 species